CCUACGGGUGGCAGCAGUGAGGAAUAUUGGUCAAUGGACGAGAGUCUGAACCAGCCAAGUAGCGUGAAGGAUGACUGCCCUAUGGGUUGUAAACUUCUUUUAUAUGGGAAUAAAACGUUCCACGUGUGGGAUUUUGUAUGUAUCAUAUGAAUAAGGAUCGGCUAACUCCGUGCCAGCAGCCGCGGUAAUACGGAGGAUCCGAGCGUUAUCCGGAUUUAUUGGGUUUAAAGGGAGCGUAGGUGGAUUGUUAAGUCAGUUGUGAAAGUUUGCGGCUCAACCGUAAAAUUGCAGUUGAAACUGGCAGUCUUGAGUACAGUAGAGGUGGGCGGAAUUCGUGGUGUAGCGGUGAAAUGCUUAGAUAUCACGAAGAACUCCGAUUGCGAAGGCAGUUCACUGGACUGCAACUGACACUGAGGCUCGAAAGUGUGGGUAUCAAACAGGAUUAGAUACCCUUGUAGUC
rnacentral:rRNA from 1 species